UUUUGUAUAUUUCAGAACUUGUGCGGGCAUUUUCUAGAAAGGUGCUUGUUAUUGGUGCCUUUUGAAGAGUACUUGGAGCUUGUGAAAAUGGCUUAGUUUUGCAAGAUGAAAAAUGUCUCUUCUUGGCCUUCUAAUCGUGCGAAUCUGAAUACCAUAAAGGGUCAACUGAAAGUGGUGAAAUUGAACAAGGGGAUGAAAGAAGUGAAGAUACAUGAUCCACUAAGGAGGAUUGGGUUAAUUUUUUGGAAAAUUGAAAACUUGUGUGUUCCACCUCUUGAAUGGUCAAACAUUAUCUUGAUAUUUUGCUUUUAUGUAUAUUUCUUGACCUCUUGGAUUAUUAUUUUGGUAUGAUGUUGGAUCUUGUAUUAUUAUGUUGGUAUGAUGUCGGAUCUUGAAUUAUUAUUUUGGUAUAUAUGAUGUGGGAUCUUGGAUUA